CCCUUCGUGGUGUAGUGGUCAGAACGCUAGGCGCGUAUUCCGUAUUCCAGAGGUCCGUGGUUCGAGUCCCGGCGAAGGCG
rnacentral:tRNA from 1 species